rnacentral:misc_RNA from 1 species
GGAGUUAUGAACUCACCCCAAUGCCUCUGGUCACCACUCACAAUCAAAUGAGGCAACCCAUCAGCCCCACAAAGAAGCCCUUGAUUCCCAUAAAAUGCGAAUCGUCUCUUCGUCUUCUCAACCGUGGCUUUCAGAGCAAGCGCCGGAGCGCUGUCGGGGGCGUAAUUCUUCAAAGAAGACUGAAGUUUCUUGAUCUGCUGCUUCUCCCUCUUGGCGAAUUGCUUGGAUUCCUUGCAGGGGGUGAGGCCGGAGAUGUCGGCAACGGCGGGGAGAGGGGCGGAGAGGAGGAUGGAGGAGAGAGCCAAGGCGGCGGAGAAGGCCUGAAGAGAAGAUGAAGGGUUUUGAUCUUGAUUAUGAGUGGCGGAGCAGAGGAUUGAUGAAGAGGGUUUUGGUUUUAAGGGGAAUGGGGAACUCAAUUUGGGCUUCAAGAGGGGUUUUGAGAGGUUAGUGGGGAUUGUGAGAGACAUUGUUGAGAGAUAUGUGAUGGGUUUGAAGGGUUUGGGAAUUGCAGAAAGAGAAAGAGGAAGAGGA